GGAGGAAUACCCAAGAGGCUGAAGGGAUCGGUCUUGAAAACCGACAGGGUGUAAAAGCCGCGGGGUUCAAAUCCCUCUUCCUCCGCCA
rnacentral:tRNA from 1 species